UUCGGAUCGCAGGCUGCAACCCGCCUGCGUGAAGUCGGAAUCGCUAGUAAUCGCGGAUCAGCAUGCCGCGGUGAAUACGUUCCCGGGCCUUGUACACACCGCCCGUCACACCAUGAGAGUCGGGAACACCCGAAGUCCGUAGCCUAACCGCAAGGAGGGCGCGGCCGAAGGUGGGUUCGAUAAUUGGGGUGAAGUCGUAACAAGGUAUC
rnacentral:rRNA from 1 species